UACGGGGGGUGCGAGCGUUGUCCGGAAUCACUGGGCGUAAAGGGCGCGUAGGUGGCGUGAUAAGGGUGUGGUGAAAGCCCGGGGCUCAACCCCGGGUCUGCCAUGCCGACUGUCAGGCUAGAGUACUGUAGGGGCAGGCGGAAUUCCGGGUGUAGCGGUGGAAUGCGUAGAGAUCAGGAGGAACACCGGUGGCGAAGGCGGAUCUCUGGGCCAUUACUGACGCUGAGGAGCGAAAGCGUGGGGAGCGAACAGG
rnacentral:rRNA from 1 species